CCUACGGGAGGCAGCAGUGGGGAAUAUUCCACAAUGGGCGAAACCCUGAUGCAGCGACGCCGCGUGGGUGAAGAAGGUCUUCGGAUCGUAAAACUCUGUUGUUAGAGAAGAAAGUCCGUGAGAGUAACUGUUCACGUUUCGACGGUAUCUCACCAGAAAGCCACGGCUAACUACGUGCCAGCAGCCGCUGUAAUACGUAGGUGGCAAGCGUUAUCCGGAUUUAUUGGGCGUAAAGGGAACGCAGGCGGGCCUUUAAGUCUGAGGUGAAAGCCUUCGGCUUAACCGGAGUAGUGCAUUGGAAACUGGGAGACUGGAGAGCAGAAGAGGAGAGUGGAACUCCAUGUGUAGCGGUGAAAUGCGUAGAUAUAUGGAAGAACACCAGUGGCGAAGGCGGCUGUCUGGUCUGUAGCUGACGCUGAGGUUCGAAAGCGUGGGUAGCAAACAGGAUUAGAUACCCCAGUAGUC
rnacentral:rRNA from 1 species